AGGCGGAUAGCUCAGUGGUAGAGCAGCGCCCUUACAAGGCGCGGGUCGCAGGUUCGAUCCCUGUUCCGCCUACCG
rnacentral:tRNA from 1 species